rfam:Colletotrichum gloeosporioides Cg-14 contig02548, whole genome shotgun sequence.
ACAUACGACCAUACCCACUGGAGAACUCGGGAUCCCGUCCGCUCUCCCAUAGAUAAGCCAGUGAGGGCUGGAGUAGUAGUCGGGUCGGUGACGACCGGCGAAUGCCCGGUGUUGUAUGUC